GACGAACGCUGGCGGCGUGCUUAACACAUGCAAGUCGAACGGAAAGGCCCUGCUUUUGUGGGGUGCUCGAGUGGCGAACGGGUGAGUAACACGUGAGUAACCUGCCCUUGACUUUGGGAUAACUUCAGGAAACUGGGGCUAAUACCGGAUAGGAGCUCCUGCUGCAUGGGGGGGGUUGGAAAGUUUCGGCGGUUGGGGAUGGACUCGCGGCUUAUCAGCUUGUUGGUGGGGUAGUGGCUUACCAAGGCUUUGACGGGUAGCCGGCCUGAGAGGGUGACCUGCCACCUUGCGACUGCGAUACGGCCCAGACUCCUACGGUAGGCAGCAGUGGGGAAUAUUGCACAAUGGGCGGAAGCCUGAUGCAGCAACGCCGCGUGCGGGAUGACGUCCUGCUGGUUGUAAACCGCUUUCGCCUGUGACGAAGCGUGAGUGACGGUAAUGGGUGAAGAAGCACCGGCUAACUACGUG
rnacentral:rRNA from 1 species